rnacentral:rRNA from 1 species
UACGUAGGUGGCAAGCGUUGUCCGGAUUUAUUGGGUUUAAAGGGUGCGUAGGCGGUCUAUUAAGUCAGUGCUGAAAUAUCCCGGCUUAACCGGGAGGGUGGCAUUGAUACUGAUGGACUUGAGUAGAGUUGAGGUUGGCGGAAUUGACGGUGUAGCGGUGAAAUGCUUAGAUAUCGUCAAGAACACCGAUAGUGAAGACAGCUAACUAAACUCUAACUGACGCUGAGGCACGAAAGUGUGGGGAUCAAACAGG